AACGCACCUUGCGCUCUCUGGUAUUCCGGAGAGCACGCCUGUUCGAGUGUCGUGAAAUUAUCAAACCGGAAUUGGCUUUAUUGCUAUUUCGGUUUGGAUUUGGACUCUGCUGUGUUACUACGGCUGGUCUUAAAAGUAUUAGCUGGCUCUUGAUUAUGAGUUUGGUUCUACUCGGCGUGAUAAUCUAUCUGACCGCUGAGGACAUCUUUCGGGAUGGCCAGGCUUCUUUCUAUGAGCUGCUUCUAAUUUGGCUAAUGGAUUCUUCUGAAUCUGUUCCAUUUUCAACUUUUGACCUCGAAUCAGGUGGGACUACCCGCUGAACUUAA
rnacentral:misc_RNA from 1 species